UUCAUCAGGCAGGGACAACUUCAGUGUAGAAUAAUAAAGAGAGUGAGGGUGUUGGAGUGGUGAUGAUGAAGAAGAUGAAAAGAGAAAGAGGAGGGUCUAAAUGAAACAAAUUUCAUCUAACGCGGCGUUACCAGUAAUUUGGGUUGAUUUGGAUCAUGAUGGUCGGAUUAGUGGUGCCGAAGCGGUCGCUUUUUUUUCAAGGAUCAAUUCUAAGCAUCCCUUUUGCUGUCUAUGGGCUUGCAGCUUCACGAUAUAACUUAUGUCCAGGUAUAAAUGCGACUGUAAAAUAUCAUUCCCUUUUGUAUUUCUCAUGUAGUCACGUGUUCUAUUUCUUAGAAUUGAUUUUAUUAUAUGGAAGCAGGACCAGAAUCCUAGAUGAAGUUAGAAAGACAACAAUCUUGCAUAUAUUCUGGAAAGUUAUGGUGAAAUUCUACAAGUAUUUAACUGAUGGUGUCUAUCUUGGGGGAUAUACUUUGCUGUCUUAUCAAUGCAAGGGACAGUCUUUGGAAAAAAAUAGACGACGAACAAGCAGCCUCAAGUACUAGAGGUGACUUAUAUUACUUACUCUCUCGAUGAAAUGCACUAAAGAAACACAAUCCCUUCCCUACCAGAAGUGCAUUGUUUAUUCUUCUUCCCAUGAACUAUUUACAUAACUACAUAUGUGACUCUACAAUUAAU